CAUCUUCUUGUUAUUAAAGAAUUUCGAUAAUCGAUGGGGGAGUGCGUUCCCAUUAGUUUGUUGGCGGGGGUAACGGGCCCCACCCAAGACAUCGAUGGAUAGGGGUUCUGAGAGGAAGGUCCCCCCACAUUGGAACUGAGACACGGUCCAA
rnacentral:rRNA from 1 species